rnacentral:rRNA from 1 species
UAUGUGAUCGUCUCUCGCAUAUCAAUAAGCGGAGGAAAAGAAACUAACAAGGAUUCCCCUAGUAACGGCGAGUGAAGCGGGAAGAGCUCAAAUUUGAAAUCUUAAAGGGUUUCCCUUUACGAAUUGUAGUUUAAAGAAGUGUUUUCUGUUGAGGUUUUGGUAAAAGUUCUUUGGAAUAGGACAUCAUAGAGGGUGAGUAUCCCGUAUUUGACCUUUACUUUCAACUUUGUGAUACACUUUCAAAGAGUCGGAUUGUUUGGGAAUGCAGUCCAAAAUGGGUGGUAAAUUUCAUCUAAAGCUAAAUAUUGGCGAGAGACCGAUAGCGAACAAGUACCGUGAGGGAAAGAUGAAAAGAACUUUGAAAAGAGAGUUAAACAGUACGUGAAAUUGUCAAAAGGGAAGCGUUUGACACCAGUGUUGUUUUUCUGAAAAUCAAUUAAAGAACUGUUUAUGCUAAGUUGUUUAGACUUUAUCAGCUAACUGUUUAGUUUUGAGCUUUUCUUUAAUGCACUUUUCAGUUAACAAGUCAACAUCAAUUUCUUUUGCUGUAAAAAAGCUUGAGGAAGGUGGCUUGAGAUUCGUCUUAAGUGUUUAUAGCCUCUUGCCUAUGCAGUCGGAGAGAUUGAGGUCUGCAGCGUAGAUCCUUCGGGGCUAAAUGCAUUUGUGCUAAGUUAUAGCAUUUUAUAGACAACUUGUUGACUAUGAUUUGUCUUGUAGCUUACUCGCUUAUGUUAUUUUACCUACGCUUAGGAUGUUGAUCUACAGAGCGAGAGU